UACGUAGGGUGCGAGCGUUAAUCGGAAUUACUGGGCGUAAAGCGUGCGCAGGCGGUUAUUUAAGUCAGGUGUGAAAGCCCUGGGCUUAACCUAGGAAUUGCGCUUGAGACUGGAUAGCUUGGAGUGCGGCAGAGGGAGGUGGAAUUCCACGUGUAGCAGUGAAAUGCGUAGAGAUGUGGAGGAAUACCGAUGGCGAAGGCAGCCCCCUGGGC
rnacentral:rRNA from 1 species